GGUCCAAAGGGUCCAAAAUUAAACUUUGUUUGAUUUUAGCAAAAAUUGAAUUCUUGGGGUUCUUUGAUAUGCUGAAUCUAAACAUGUAUUUAGAUUUUUGAUUUUUGGCCCAGUUUUCAAGUUGGUCCAAAUUGGGGUCCAAAAUGAAACUUUGUUUGAUUUCAACUAAAAUUGAAUAUAUGGGGUUCUUUGAUAUGCAGAAUCUAACCAUGUAUUUAGAUUUUUUAUUUGUGGACCCCGUUAUCAAAUUGGUUCAUAUUGAGGUCAAAAGGGUCCAAAAUUAAAGUUCGUUUGAUUUCAUCAAAAAUUGAAUUAUUGGGGUUCUUUGAUAUUCCAAAUCUAACCGUGUAUUUAGAAUUUUAAUUUUAAGUCCCGUUUUUUAAAUUGGUCUACAUUAAGGUCCAAAGGGUCCAAAAUUAAACUUAGUUUGAUUUUAGCAAAAAUUGAAUUCUUAGGGUUCUUUGAUAUGCUGAAUAUAAACAUGUGUUUAGAUUUUUGAUUAUGGGCCCAGUUUUCAAGUUUGUCCAAGUUGGGGUCCAAAAUUAAACUUUGUUUGAUUUUAACAAAAAUUGAAUAUAUGGGGUUCUUUGAUAUGCUGAAUCUAACCAUGUAUUUUGAUUUUGGACAUUGGACCAUAAUAGGUAAAUUAAAAAAAAUUCAAGUUCUUAGACCACAUUCUUUCUGUGUCAGAAACCUAUGCUGUGUCAAAUAUUUAAUAACAAUCCAAAUUCAGAGCUGUAUCAAGCUUGAAUGUUGUGUCCAUACUUGCCCCAACUGUUCAGGGUUCGACCUCUGCGGUCGUAUCAAGCUGCGCCCCAGCGAAGCAUUUUAUUUUUAAAGUUGGCCUAGAAAUGGCUAUUUUACCAACACCAGCAAUAAAGUGAAUUUGUUAUUUUGUAGGUUCUUUGUAAAGAGUGAAAUUUAAUAUUUUAUUUACUUUUGAAAGUACUAUGAAAAAUUAUGUGCACUGUCAACAUAAAAUAAAAUAAUUACUGAUUUACCAGUAGUUAUUAAAAUAAGAAAACAGCUAACAAUAUUUUGAGAACGUAACAUUUAUCAGUCAAAGUAUAAAUAACUAUUAAGAAUUUAUAUCAAGAAAAAAAAAAAAAAAAAUAAAAAUAUUGAGCUUCCAUUUGUUGCAAUGAAAUCAUAUCUAAACA